GACGAACGCUGGCGGCGUGCUUAACACAUGCAAGUCGAACGGAAAGGCCCUGCAUUUGUGGGGUGCUCGAGUGGCGAACGGGUGAGUAACACGUGAGUAACCUGCCCUUGACUUUGGGAUAACUUCAGGAAACUGGGGCUAAUACCGGAUAGGAGCUCCUGCUGCAUGGUGGGGGUUGGAAAGUUUCGGCGGUUGGGGAUGGACUCGCGGCUUAUCAGCUUGUUGGUGGGGUAGUGGCUUACCAAGGCUUUGACGGGUAGCCGGCCUGAGAGGGUGACCGGCCACAUUGGGACUGAGAUACGGCCCAGACUCCUACGGGAGGCAGCAGUGGGGAAUAUUGCACAAUGGGCGGAAGCCUGAUGCAGCAACGCCGCGUGCGGGAUGACGGCCUUCGGGUUGUAAACCGCUUUCGCCUGUGACGAAGCGUGAGUGACGGUAAUGGGUAAAGAAGCACCGGCUAACUACGUG
rnacentral:rRNA from 1 species